UCCUCGUUAGUAUAGUGGUGAGUAUCCCCGCCUGUCACGUGAGAGACCAGGGUUCGAUUCCCCGACGGGGAG
rnacentral:tRNA from 1 species